rnacentral:rRNA from 1 species
UUGCCAUCAUUCAGUUGGGCACUCUAGCGAGACUGCCGGUAAUAAACCGGAGGAAGGUGGGGGAUGACGUCAAAUCAUCAUGCCCCUUAUGACCUGGGCUACACACGUGCUACAAUGGUUGGUACAACGAGUUGCGAGUCGGUGACGGCGAGCUAAUCUCUUAAAGCCAAUCUCAGUUCGGAUUGUAGGCUGCAACUCGCCUACAUGAAGUCGGAAUCGCUAGUAAUCGCGGAUCAGCACGCCGCGGUGAAUACGUUCCCGGGCCUU